UGGGGAAUUUUGCACAAUGGGGGAAACCCUGAUGCAGCGACGCCGCGUGAUUUAGAAGGCCUUCGGGUUGUAAAAAUCUUUUGUAUGGGAAGAAAAUGACAGUACCAUACGAAUAAGGACCGGCUAAUUUCGUGCCAGCAGCCGCGGUAAUAUGUAAGGUCCGAGCGUUGUCCGGAAUCAUUGGGCGUAAAGGGUACGUAGGCGGAUAAGCAAGUUAGAAGUGAAAUCCUAUAGCUCAACUAUAGUAAGCUUUUAAAACUGCUCAUCUUGAGGUAUGGAAGGGAAAGUGGAAUUCCUAGUGUAGCGGUGAAAUGCGCAGAUAUUAGGAGGAAUACCGGUGGCGAAGGCGACUUUCUGGCCAUAUACUGACGCUGAGGUACGAAAGCGUGGGUAGCAAACAGG
rnacentral:rRNA from 1 species